AUUCAGCCGACAAAUCCCUAAUAGGACGAAACGUGCGUCCUGGAU
rnacentral:hammerhead_ribozyme from 1 species